UACGUAGGGUGCGAGCGUUGUCCGGAAUUAUUGGGCGUAAAGAGCUCGUAGGCGGUCUGUCGCGUCGGAUGUGAAAAUCCAGGGCUCAACCCUGGACCUGCAUUCGAUACGGGCAGACUAGAGUUCGGUAGGGGAGACUGGAAUUCCUGGUGUAGCGGUGAAAUGCGCAGAUAUCAGGAGGAACACCGGUGGCGAAGGCGGGUCUCUAGGCCGGACACUGACGCUGAGGAGCGAAAGCGUGGGGAGCGAACAGG
rnacentral:rRNA from 1 species